rnacentral:rRNA from 1 species
UACGUAGGGCGCGAGCGUUGUCCGGAAUUAUUGGGCGUAAAGAGCUCGUAGGCGGCUUGUCACGUCGGGUGUGAAAGACCGGGGCUUAACUCCGGUUCUGCAUUCGAUACGGGCUAGCUAGAGUGUGGUAGGGGAGAUCGGAAUUCCUGGUGUAGCGGUGAAAUGCGCAGAUAUCAGGAGGAACACCGAUGGCGAAGGCAGGUCUCUGGGCAUUAACUGACGCUGAGGAGCGAAAGCAUGGGGAGCGAACAGG